UAUUAGGGAACAAAUUCAAGAUCUAAUGGACUGUAAUGUUAUGAGUGUGAGAGGUUCCAAGCCACUCUAUUAGGGAACAAAUUCAAGAUCUAAUGGACUGUAAUGUUAUGAGUGUGUGAGAGGUUCCAAGCCACUCUAUUAGGGAACAAAUUCAAGAUCUAAUGGACUGUAAUGUUAUGAGUGUGUGAGAGGUUCCAAGCCACUCUAUUAGGGAACAAAUUCAAGAUCUAAUGGACUGUAAUGUUAUGAGUGUGUGAGAGGUUCCAAGCCACUCUAUUAGGGAACAAAUUCAAGAUCUAAUGGACUGUAAUGUUAUGAGUGUGUGAGAGGUUCCAAGCCACUCUAUUAGGGGACAAAUUCAAGAUCUAAUGGACUGUAAUGUUAUGAGUGUGUGAGAGGUUCCAAGCCACUCUAUUAGGGGACAAAUUCAAGAUCUAAUGGACUGUAAUGUUAUGAGUGUGUGAGAGGUUCCAAGCCACUCUAUUAGGGAACAAAUUCAAGAUCUAAUGGACUGUAAUGUUAUGAGUGUGUGAGAGGUUCCAAGCCACUCUAUUAGGGAACAAAUUCAAGAUCUAAUGGACUGUAAUGUUAUGAGUGUGAGAGGUUCCAAGCCACUCUAUUAGGGAACAAAUUCAAGAUCUAAUGGACUGUAAUGUUAUGAGUGUGAGAGGUUCCAAGCCACUCUAUUAGGGGACAAAUUCAAGAUCUAAUGGACUGUAAUGCUAUGAGUGUGAGAGG